rnacentral:rRNA from 1 species
GGUUAAGCGACUAAGCGUACACGGUGGAUGCCCUGGCAGUCAGAGGCGAUGAAGGACGUGCUAAUCUGCGAUAAGCGUCGGUAAGGUGAUAUGAACCGUUAUAACCGGCGAUUUCCGAAUGGGGAAACCCAGUGUGAUUCGUCACACUAUCAUUAACUGAAUCCAUAGGUUAAUGAGGCGAACCGGGGGAACUGAAACAUCUAAGUACCCCGAGGAAAAGAAAUCAACCGAGAUUCCCCCAGUAGCGGCGAGCGAACGGGGAGCAGCCCAGAGCCUGAAUCAGUGUGUGUGUUAGUGGAAGCGUCUGGAAAGGCGUGCGAUACAGGGUGACAGCCCCGUACACAAAAAUGCACAUAUUGUGAGCUCGAUGAGUAGGGCGGGACACGUGGUAUCCUGUCUGAAUAUGGGGGGACCAUCCUCCAAGGCUAAAUACUCCUGACUGACCGAUAGUGAACCAGUACCGUGAGGGAAAGGCGAAAAGAACCCCGGCGAGGGGAGUGAAAAAGAACCUGAAACCGUGUACGUACAAGCAGUGGGAGCACGCUUAGGCGUGUGACUGCGUACCUUUUGUAUAAUGGGUCAGCGACUUAUAUUCUGUAGCAAGGUUAACCGAAUAGGGGAGCCGAAGGGAAACCGAGUCUUAACUGGGCGUUAAGUUGCAGGGUAUAGACCCGAAACCCGGUGAUCUAGCCAUGGGCAGGUUGAAGGUUGGGUAACACUAACUGGAGGACCGAACCGACUAAUGUUGAAAAAUUAGCGGAUGACUUGUGGCUGGGGGUGAAAGGCCAAUCAAACCGGGAGAUAGCUGGUUCUCCCCGAAAGCUAUUUAGGUAGCGCCUCGUGAAUUCAUCUCCGGGGGUAGAGCACUGUUUCGGCAAGGGGGUCAUCCCGACUUACCAACCCGAUGCAAACUGCGAAUACCGGAGAAUGUUAUCACGGGAGACACACGGCGGGUGCUAACGUCCGUCGUGAAGAGGGAAACAACCCAGACCGCCAGCUAAGGUCCCAAAGUCAUGGUUAAGUGGGAAACGAUGUGGGAAGGCCCAGACAGCCAGGAUGUUGGCUUAGAAGCAGCCAUCAUUUAAAGAAAGCGUAAUAGCUCACUGGUCGAGUCGGCCUGCGCGGAAGAUGUAACGGGGCUAAACCAUGCACCGAAGCUGCGGCAGCGACACUAUGUGUUGUUGGGUAGGGGAGCGUUCUGUAAGCCUGUGAAGGUGUACUGUGAGGUAUGCUGGAGGUAUCAGAAGUGCGAAUGCUGACAUAAGUAACGAUAAAGCGGGUGAAAAGCCCGCUCGCCGGAAGACCAAGGGUUCCUGUCCAACGUUAAUCGGGGCAGGGUGAGUCGACCCCUAAGGCGAGGCCGAAAGGCGUAGUCGAUGGGAAACAGGUUAAUAUUCCUGUACUUGGUGUUACUGCGAAGGGGGGACGGAGAAGGCUAUGUUGGCCGGGCGACGGUUGUCCCGGUUUAAGCAUGUAGGCUGGUUUUCCAGGCAAAUCCGGAAAAUCAAGGCUGAGGCGUGAUGACGAGGCACUACGGUGCUGAAGCAACAAAUGCCCUGCUUCCAGGAAAAGCCUCUAAGCAUCAGGUAACAUCAAAUCGUACCCCAAACCGACACAGGUGGUCAGGUAGAGAAUACCAAGGCGCUUGAGAGAACUCGGGUGAAGGAACUAGGCAAAAUGGUGCCGUAACUUCGGGAGAAGGCACGCUGAUAUGUAGGUGAAGCGACUUGCUCGUGGAGCUGAAAUCAGUCGAAGAUACCAGCUGGCUGCAACUGUUUAUUAAAAACACAGCACUGUGCAAACACGAAAGUGGACGUAUACGGUGUGACGCCUGCCCGGUGCCGGAAGGUUAAUUGAUGGGGUCAGCGCAAGCGAAGCUCUUGAUCGAAGCCCCGGUAAACGGCGGCCGUAACUAUAACGGUCCUAAGGUAGCGAAAUUCCUUGUCGGGUAAGUUCCGACCUGCACGAAUGGCGUAAUGAUGGCCAGGCUGUCUCCACCCGAGACUCAGUGAAAUUGAACUCGCUGUGAAGAUGCAGUGUACCCGCGGCAAGACGGAAAGACCCCGUGAACCUUUACUAUAGCUUGACACUGAACAUUGAGCCUUGAUGUGUAGGAUAGGUGGGAGGCUUUGAAGUGUGGACGCCAGUCUGCAUGGAGCCGACCUUGAAAUACCACCCUUUAAUGUUUGAUGUUCUAACGUGGACCCGUGAUCCGGGUUGCGGACAGUGUCUGGUGGGUAGUUUGACUGGGGCGGUCUCCUCCUAAAGAGUAACGGAGGAGCACGAAGGUUGGCUAAUCCUGGUCGGACAUCAGGAGGUUAGUGCAAUGGCAUAAGCCAGCUUGACUGCGAGCGUGACGGCGCGAGCAGGUGCGAAAGCAGGUCAUAGUGAUCCGGUGGUUCUGAAUGGAAGGGCCAUCGCUCAACGGAUAAAAGGUACUCCGGGGAUAACAGGCUGAUACCGCCCAAGAGUUCAUAUCGACGGCGGUGUUUGGCACCUCGAUGUCGGCUCAUCACAUCCUGGGGCUGAAGUAGGUCCCAAGGGUAUGGCUGUUCGCCAUUUAAAGUGGUACGCGAGCUGGGUUUAGAACGUCGUGAGACAGUUCGGUCCCUAUCUGCCGUGGGCGCUGGAGAACUGAGGGGGGCUGCUCCUAGUACGAGAGGACCGGAGUGGACGCAUCACUGGUGUUCGGGUUGUCAUGCCAAUGGCACUGCCCGGUAGCUAAAUGCGGAAGAGAUAAGUGCUGAAAGCAUCUAAGCACGAAACUUGCCCCGAGAUGAGUUCUCCCUGACCCUUUAAGGGUCCUGAAGGAACGUUGAAGACGACGACGUUGAUAGGCCGGGUGUGUAAGCGCAGCGAUGCGUUGAGCUAACCGGUACUAAUGAACCGUGAGGCUUAACCUU